rfam:Lactococcus raffinolactis 4877 genomic scaffold, Scaffold1782
GGAAAGUUACCUAAGUGGCUUAAGGGGACGCCUUGGAAAGGUGUUAGACGUGGCAACAUGUGCGCGGGUUCGAAUCCCGUGCUUUCCU